UACCAAAGAUAGGCUGGAAGGGA
rnacentral:piRNA from 1 species